CGUCUCUGUCAUCUCCUAGCAAAGCGGUUGCCCUAAAGAGGGAAAAAUAAACUCCCAACUCAUAAAGACCCUGUUAGACCCUGCUUGAGAACCUUUCUUCAGGGCGUCCUACUGAGCUGAAGAAUAGAUUCAGUGAGUCAGUGCAGAUGGAUAAAUGCCUGCGCUGUACUGCAAGUCUCUGAGCAGUGGACAAGCUGUGCGGAGAAGAAUCCGUGUCAGGGUAUAAUCAGGUUACACAGGUAAGAGGGAGGAAAGAGGGGAAGGCGUUGCAGGCUGGGUGAAAGCACAAGCGAGGAAGCAAAUUUAGAACGAGACCUGGAACGUCUAGGCAGACAUAAAACAAAUUCAUUCCCUCAGCGUAUUUCUCAAAGCAGGAUCUGGCGAAGCACUAUUUAAAUAAUCAUGCACAAUGUCAAAUCAAGGAGGCUGGGUUCCUUUCUUAUUCUUUUCAACUAGUGUUUAAUUUUCUUUGUGUGUUUGUUUUAUUUGCAGUUUGCCCAGUCUAAGAAAAUGUUGUUUGCGGAGCAUUGUAUUUCUGCCUUUUUACAGGGUAAUUCCUGUUUGCUUUGCAAUUCCAUCCUCUUUGGCAGCAUCAGAAAGUAUUUUACAAAGUGGAUCCUUGUGGCUGAGGCAUUUUCAGAUACCAGGCAGAGAGCCAUCUGGAUGAGACUUCACCCUGCCCUUCCAUGGUAAGAUGAAGCAGGAACAUAAAAGACAUACUGACUACCGAAUAAAAACGAAACUCUCAAAUUCA
rnacentral:lncRNA from 1 species